rnacentral:snRNA from 1 species
GUACGUCAAUGACGUACAUAUACUAAAAUUGGAACGAUACAGAGAAGAUUAGCAUGGCCCCUGCGCAAGGAUGACACGCAAAAUCGUGAAGCGUUCCACAUUUUU